GUGAACGCUAGCGGUGCGCCUAACACAUGCAAGUCGCGCGAGGCUUCGAGCCGAGCGGCGAACGGCUGCGUAACACGUUGGAACCUACCCCAGACUCAGGGAUAAUCCGCCGAAAGGUGGACUAAUACCGGAUGCCCUCGCAAGAGGAAAGCUACGGCGGUCUGGGAGGGGCCUGCGGCCUAUCAGUUAGUUGGUAAGGUAACGGCUUACCAAGACGAUGACGGGUAGCUGAUCUGAGAGGAUGAUCAGCCAGAAUGGAACUGAGACACGGUCCAUACUCCUACGGGAGGCAGCAGUGAGGAAUCUUCCGCAAUGGGCGCAAGCCUGACGGAGCGACACCGCGUGAAGGAUGAAGACAUUUUUUGUUGUAAACUUCUGUUCUGAGGGAAGAAAUUUUUGACUGUACCUCAGGAGAAAGCACCGGCAAAUCUCGUGCCAGCAGCCGCGGUAAUU
rnacentral:rRNA from 1 species